GCAUAAAGAAUAUUUGUUUUGCUGAUGACUUGCCAAAAUCCUCUCUUUCCUAGCCAUAUUUUAUGAUGAAUGAUUCGGUUGCUAGAAGAAAAUUAAUCCAGUACUUAUUGUCUACUUGCAUAUGUUACUUUAAACAACAUUUAGAAGUGUGUUGCCCAAAAUACUUGGGAGGACUUGUCAUGGUAAUGCUGCUGGUAUCCAUGGAAUUGGGGAGGCUUAUAUGUAAUGCUGUGCUAUGUCAUAAAUCUAAACGUGCAUAAGAUGUUGCAUUUGAUGUUCACAAACUUCAAACGAAUAUUUUAUACUUUCUUUAAUUGGGGUGUACUUAUUAAUCUUAGACGUAACUAAUCUGCCAAGAAGGUAUCAGAUGUUCAAUUCCACCGAAUGUGUAACCCACGAUAGUAAAUGGAUGUGUGUUGUAGCAUUGUUUACAUUAGGUAACACAUGGUGAAUCACUUAGCAUUAUGCAAUGGGUUAGUUUUGGCCUGCUGUGACUGUUUUAACUUGGCAGUUCUAUUGUUAAUGAUCGACGUAACAGGGAGCAUUUCUCGUAUUCAAGCAAUGACUAUAAUGGUCAGGUGAAAGCGAAACUAGAAGGAUGUAUUCAAAGGCGUGAGGGACUUCAAAACGAGAUUACUCAGAUGCAAGAGAAGUUAGAUGAGAAACAACAACUUGUUUCUGAUUUACAGAAGAAAUCAAAGAAGUUGGAGGACCAGUUGACGACUGCAAAGAAGCUCUCCUCACAGCGUAAGAUACAGUUGACAAAGUUACAUAAAAGUUUCUUGCAAGUGAAAGAGUACACUGAAAGACUUAAAAGCUCUGAACAGGAGCUUCAGGUUAGAAUCUCUGAACUCCAAACUGAUGAUGAACAUGCAAACAUGUAACCAUCAUUAUCUAAGUAUUAUCAUCACCUUUUUCUUUUGAGCAUUCCGGUCAUUAUUGUGAGAUGUGUUGCAUGUUUUGUCAUGCACAGACUUGUUAUUUUAAUGUUGUGUAGACAGUAUUUUUAGCGGGCGGCAUUAUUGCCUCCUAACAGGUCGUAACUUUUCAAUUCUUGUAACUCCAAUAUUAAGGUCCUAUCAUAUAUGUCUAUAUGCAAAAAUAUAUAGUGAUUGAAAAAUGACAAUAGAGUUUAGGAAAUGACCAUGCAAAUUUGGCAUGAGAUUGAAAAUAACUUUAGUCUUUUAAACACAUGCUAUAUUUUUUUUAAAAAUUGCUCUCUUUUUAAAUUUUGAACACCUAUAUUUGGCUGUGUAGAGAAGUAUAUGAAUUAGAAAAUGAAAACAUAAAAAGUGUUUUCUACAACUAAAGCGGGACUUAAUAUUUUUGUUUGUAUCAUUUCUUGAAAACGUCAGCUUGUGUUUAUGUUUAUCUGUUGAUAAAAGCAAAAGCAUAGCAUGUACCCCAAGAAACAUCAAUACUGUCCUAUAUAUGAUUGUAAAUUCGAAGUAUUGAGGGACAAAUUGAAUUUAUGAGUUGUUCCAGUUUCUAAAUGUGAUGUCAUAAGAAAUAUUUCAUAUGCAUAAUUAAGAAACAUGGGAUGGUUUAUUCUCAUUGAUAGAGAAGGGAUAUGAACUAGAAUUUCUAAAUACAUUGGAGGUUGUACUUUUAGCUAAUCUACACCUUAAUGUAAUAGUAUGGAUAGGAUCAAAUCUUUAGUUACUUUAGGAUUUUUUUACUGUUUAACCUCUAUUAAGAAUUAAGUUUUUAUUUGAAUUCUUUAAAUAUGUUUUGAACUCAAAAAUUUGUGAACUCACUUGCAAAUCUAAAUUUGAUUUAACUCGAAGAUGAAAAUCCUGCCAAAAAUUAUAAAAUUGAGUACAUAUAGAAUUUAUAUGGAAUUGGAAAAUUACAUUUCAGGAUUCAAUGAUUUACUGGAAUUGGCAAUGUAUUAUAAUGUGGAUUGAUGGAAUUUGAAUUUUUUUUUCGUUUUGACAAGGAAUUCAAUUUUUUUGUCAUCCUGAUACAAUUUGCUCUUCCUAUUUAAAUUAUGUGUUAAUCUGCAAAUGAAUUACACAUUAUUUUUGAAUUUGUUCCAACUAUAGCCUUAGUUAUUAGAUUAGAACUUUAUAUUCAAGCAUUGUAAAUAUCUAUAUAAUCUAAAAGUGAGAUCUAUCUCGAAAAAAAAUCUCAGCUUUGAGAUCAAGCCAUGAGUGAAUAGAUUAUCAUGAGAGUUUUCUCAAUACCUUGAUUGCGAGGCACAGUAAAGUGAUCAUUAGAAUCUACUCAGCAUGAUGCUUAAGGGAUUCUAGGUCUGAGUCUAGUUAAUUUUUGGUUCACUAUUCAAUUCUCAGGUUUAAUAUCUAAGAAUUUGAAGAUUUACGCCAAAUUCUUGAGUAGACAAAUUAAUGCUAAUUUGUCCUACAUCACUCAUGAUUCUACGUUUUACAGUUAUUAUAAAGCAACAUCAAUAACUUCAGAUGCUUUGUUUUGAUUGAUUAGUAAAAAACAAAGUUGUGGCAAAAUUGGGCUGGUGAAUUUUCAGUAUUGAAUAUAGUUAAUGAAAUUGGCCCAUAGGAUGUGAGGAUCAGUAAACUAUUCACCUGUCUAGAUCGAUGCAAAAAGGCAAUUCUUUUUAUGUCUUAGUUUAAAUAUGUAUCAUGAGGUUUAAUGCUGUGCUUGGAAUAAAUAAACUUAAUUUUUAGAAUUCAUUUGGAAACCUACACUUAAUUUAAUUAUGAGUGGAUUAAAAUCCUUUCUAUCGUGAUAAUCAAUUUCUUAAAAAAUUUGAAACAGAAUAUUUCAAAAUCUCAUCAGUUUUGGUUCCUGAAAAUUUUUUAGGAGAUCAAUAUUCAUUAUCAUCUUAAGGAAAGUUUCAUUCUCAUCUAGUCAAACUGAGAUUUUAAAUAAUUUUGAAAAAUAACUAAUUUACUUAGAACAUAACCUAAAAAGAUAGCUGAUUUACAGAAAUGGGAAGUGAUAGAUAAUCUGCACCUGUUGUCAUCCUCCCUUUUCCACUGGCUGUUCUCUGCAGAUUCCUUUUAUCGUCCGAUAUCUUUUGACUGUAAUCAUAACAUGCAAUGAGAGUGAGUGGUGAUACAAUACACGUUGUAAAACAACUGUUUGUGCUUUUCUGAUGUAAGGAUUUUCCAGUAUGAAUUCAAAUUUUAUCCACAUAGACUCUAUCAUGGUCUGCCCAUGAGUGAAACUUCCCAGUGGUAUCACUCUAAUA